rnacentral:rRNA from 1 species
CGGGAGGCAGCAGCAGGGAAUAUUGUGCAAUGAACGAAAGUUUGACACAGCGACACCGCGUGUGGGAUGACGGAUCUAGGUUUGUAAACCACUUUCAGGAGGGAAGAAAAUGACGGUACCUCCAUAAGAAGCCCCGGCCAACUACGUGCCAGCAGCCGCGGUAAUACGUAGGGGGCGAGCGUUGUCCGGAUUUAUUGGGCGUAAAGAGCUCGUAGGCGGUUCAACAAGUCGGUCGUGAAAGUUCAGGGCUCAACCCUGAAAUGUCGAUCGAUACUGUUGUGACUAGGAUACGGUAGAGGUGAGUGGAAUUCCGAGUGUAGCGGUGAAAUGCGUAGAUAUUCGGAGGAACACCAAUUGCGAAGGCAGCUCACUGGGCCGCUAUCGACGCUGAGGAGCGAAAGCUAGGGGAGCAAACAGGAUUAGAUACCCUGGUGAUCCUAGCUGUAAACGAUGGAUACUAGACGUAGGAACUGGAUUGACGGUUUCUGUGUCGCAGCUAACGCGUUAAGUAUCCCGCCUGGGGAGUACGGUCGCAAGACUAAAACUCAAAUGAAUUG